GCACCGCGGACUCCUUGGUGAGGACGCAAACCCCAAGCCCACUGCUACUUCAGGGGUCUUUUGCGUUUCCCGAGGCAGAACCUUGGUGAGGCUUUGUCUAAUGCAGUCAAGGUUAGGAGACUCUGCGGCCAUUCCUUCCAUUUCGCUCAGUCCUUCCGGGAGAAGCACCUGCUCCUUUCGGCGGGGGUGGGGGACAGGGGGAACUGCUCCUCUCGCCCUCCUUGGUGGGGGUGGGGCGACAGGGUUACCAGCUCAUUGCUUCCUCCCGUGGUGGGGAGACGGGGCUACUGGCUCAUCUCUUCCUCCUGUGGCAUCUGGCUCUGAUACUCAUGCCAACCCCGCCCCCUCCCCGGUGUGGAUGCUGGAUGCCUGCCUUGCUCUGUUAGGAUAAUGGCUCAGAGACUAAAGUGUUCCGGAGAGAUGGGAAAGAGAUCAGCUUUAUUUUUGAAGCAUGAAACCUCUGAGAAAGUCCUAAUGUAAGGAAUUGACCCCAGAAUCACUUGCAAUAAGAAGCAAGUCCACUUGGUGAGAUAUGGGGGGAGCAGGGGUCCCAGGGAGCAAGGUGGUGCUGUUGCAUUUCUGUUUGCGGUGUGACUCGAAGGCCUGUCAGAGCCAACGAGGGAAACAGACUCUGCUGCUCUAAUGUCCUUUGCUGGAAGUGCAGCCGAGGGUCAUUAGGACACACUGUGCGAGGGGCAGUGCUACCUGUGGUCCCUCACAGGCAGGCCCUUAGGGGCCCAGGAUCGUUGUGCUCUGGGCACUUACGCCCCCCCCCCGACAUGCCCGAGCCGUUACAGUCCAGGCAGGCUCUGCAAGUCCACGGCAUCCCUGGGCAUCAUCAUGCUCCACCAUGCCCCCUUACUCCCCACCGUGCUCCACCAUGCUCCAUUGUCCUCCGUCAUGCUCCACCAUGCUCUCCUGUGCCUAACCAUCCUCCACCAUCUUCCACGGUGCUCCAUCAUGCUUUAUCAUCCUCUACCGUGCUUCCUUAUGCUUCACCAUACUCCACCAUGCUCCACUAUACUCCACCAUCCUCCAUUGGCCUCCAUCAUGCUCUGCCAUGCUCUACUGUGCCUAACCAUCCUCCACCAUCUUUCACUGUGCUUCCCCAUCCUCUACCGUCUUCCACUGUGCUUCACCAUCCUCCACUGUGCUCCAUCAUGCUCCAUCAUCCUCUACCAUGCUUCCUUAUCUUCACCAUACUCCACCAUGCUCCACUAUACUCCACCAUGCUCCACUGUGCUCCAUCAUGCUCCAUCAUCCUCUACCAUGCUUCCUUAUGCUUCACCAUACUCCACCAUGCUCCACGGGCCUCCAUCAUGCUCCGCCAUGCUCUACUGUGCUUCACCAUCCUCUGCCAUGCCCCACCAUGCUUCACUCUGCUUCCCCAUGCUCCGUUAUCCUCCAUCAUACUUCACCAUCCUUCACCGUGCCCUAUAAUGCUCCGUAAGCCUCCCUCAUGUUCCUUCAUGCUCCUCCAUGAUACCCGCCUGCUCCGUCACACUCCAUCAUGCUUCAUCACGGUCCCUGUGGCUCCACUUAGAGGAGACCACGACCUGGAGCCCGUGUGGGUCCCCCACCCACAGCACUGGCCUAAGGAGAGAGAGAGAGGCAGAGCGGCCGUGAGAGAACGUCCAGCCAGACCCAGCACCAGCCCCAGGAAGGAAGCCAUUCCAGCUCCAGGAAACCAAUGA
rnacentral:lncRNA from 1 species